rnacentral:rRNA from 2 species
GCAGUCGACGAACUCUGGUAUUGAUUGGUGCUUGCAUCAUGAUUUACAUUUGAGUGAGUGGCGAACUGGUGAGUAACACGUGGGAAACCUGCCCAGAAGCGGGGGAUAACACCUGGAAACAGAUGCUAAUACCGCAUAACAACUUGGACCGCAUGGUCCGAGUUUGAAAGAUGGCUUCGGCUAUCACUUUUGGAUGGUCCCGCGGCGUAUUAGCUAGAUGGUGGGGUAACGGCUCACCAUGGCAAUGAUACGUAGCCGACCUGAGAGGGUAAUCGGCCACAUUGGGACUGAGACACGGCCCAAACUCCUACGGGAGGCAGCAGUAGGGAAUCUUCCACAAUGGACGAAAGUCUGAUGGAGCAACGCCGCGUGAGUGAAGAAGGGUUUCGGCUCGUAAAACUCUGUUGUUAAAGAAGAACAUAUCUGAGAGUAACUGUUCAGGUAUUGACGGUAUUUAACCAGAAAGCCACGGCUAACUACGUGCCAGCAGCCGCGGUAAUACGUAGGUGGCAAGCGUUGUCCGGAUUUAUUGGGCGUAAAGCGAGCGCAGGCGGUUUUUUAAGUCUGAUGUGAAAGCCUUCGGCUCAACCGAAGAAGUGCAUCGGAAACUGGGAAACUUGAGUGCAGAAGAGGACAGUGGAACUCCAUGUGUAGCGGUGAAAUGCGUAGAUAUAUGGAAGAACACCAGUGGCGAAGGG